AUUCCGGUAUAGCCUUGUCAUAAAAAAUAAUAUUUAAAUUUUUUUACCGUAACAUUUAGGGUCGCAAUGCUUUAUUAGUACAAUUUUCUUUUUAUUUUUCUUAGCCCUACAGAUGGCUCCAUUACCUGAGCUAAGGCAACUGAUGACUGACAAUAAAUGGCGCGCUAUGGUCGUCAAAUAAGCAUCAUGGAAGUGUGAUAUGGAAACAUGUAUCAAAUAUCCAUAUAUCCGUAGAUAUAUGGAUAUAUCGUAAAUUAAAACAAAAAUAUUGCUUCCUUAAGAUUUUUUUCUCAAUACUAUUGCAUCUACUCACCGGAAACUGGAUGCCGUGUGGCCCUACAUCCAACCGAAACGUAGUUUGGAUAUAUAUGUCAGAUAUAUGUAUGUCAGAAAUAUGCUCCUAGAUUCGAUUGUUUUAGAAGCCCCAGUCCGUUGCAGCCCGGGCACUGCUGUUGUUCUCAUAAUGAUAAUCGCCAUAUUAGCAAGUCUUAGACACUUUUUAUAUUGUGGACACAAAUUCAAAACAAUUAUCUGGCAGAUGGAUAUCAUAAUUAGAGAGAAAUCCAUCUAGACAGUAAGACGUUCAAGUAUUUGGAAUUGAAAGUUUUUGGAACCCAAAGCAUUGUCGAUAUGUGUCAAAAAAUAAAGAAAAAAAAAACCAAACAGUA